GUUGUAGCGUAGUGGUUAGGGGAUCUGCUUUGCAUGCGGAAAAUCCUCGGUUCAAUUCCCAGCUUAUCCA